UUUUUGAUAGUCGAUAGGUGAACUAAGAAAGGUAGGCUUGCUCCAAACAAGUCAACAUUAUCACUCACCUUGUAGAUGGCUAGAGAAUGUGCAGAGCGCCAAUGACAACCUCAAACAAAUUCAACAGUGCAUGGUGAUGAAUUCUCCCAUGUUUCCAAAUCCAAAUCUUCACUGGAAUCUCUCGAUUGUUUGAUCCAGUUUGUUGUUACAAUACAAUGAAUCCUAAUUCGAAUCUUUGCUCGAAUCUCUCGAUUGUUUGAUCCAGUUUGUAGUUACAAUACAAUGAUUCCAAAUCUAAAUAUUUGCUCAAAUCACUUGAUUGAUUUGUUUGUUGUUAUCGUGGUGCCAGUCACUGGCCCCAAUGUACUAAUCCUCAUUGCUGAUGCCUCCGACCCGACCUUCCUCAUCGACGUGACUGACUUUGAGGCGAUGCAUGCAUCUUCACUUCUGAAGCACAAGCAGGCGCUGCUCUUGACACCCUCCCCAUCUAGAUGUGUUGAAAUUUAUCUCACCUUGUUUCGAACAUAAAUUGAUUGUGCAUCAAGUAGGAAAUGUUGGUUUCCUCUGCAUGGUGUGAUAUUGCUCCCUUUUCUAGGUCUAAUUUACAAAGAAACAAGUAUAUAUUAUCUUCUAAAAGAUUAAAAAGAAACAAGUAUAGAGCUGCUGACAGACACUGACAUACAAAAGUAUUUUUUGUGCUUUGGGUACUUACUUUGUUUUAACUUUCUGGCACUGUUGGUUUAUUAAUUUUUCUAGAUGUUGCAGUCCAUUGAAUAGAUCCAUAUCAGGUGGAGACCUAAAUUAAGUUCAUGCUAAGUGGAACUAUGUACAAAUAUUUUCAUAAAUUGUGAAGAAUCCUAUUGAUAUUGCUGAUGGGGCAUUUCAAGAUAAAAUAGAAGAUCUUCUCGGGCACAACUAGACUACUUGCAGGAAAAACAAAUAAUCUACUUGAAGCACUCUGGAAUUACACUGUGAAUGGAAAAGUUAUUCACUCUAUAGGUGUACUACUGCCUUCUCAAGAGUAAACCCAUGGAGGCUAUUCCUCCAAUAUAAAUGAUUGUAGAAAAGAUAGGUUUGACAUUAUCAAUACACGCAUAUUGAGGCUUUCAUUUUUCUUGAGAUGGAGCAAAGGGUUCAAAUGGAAUGACAAAGAAACAUAUGGAGGGAAGGAAGGCACUUAUUGAUUGUGCAGGGUUCUUUGUUGAUGUAAUUUUCCAUGCUGGUGAACCACUUUCUGCAUAUACUCAGGCGUAUUCAGAGGUAAGCAUUUUUAGUAUGUUGCAGUUGCGGUGCCUCAUAUGAUUGUUACUUAAAAUUUUAGUAUUUCUCGACUCCAACAUUUCCUAUCACAGACAGUUAAGGACAUUUCGGUUUCAGCUCAAACUCAAGCAGCCCAUACUCUAAAUUAACACACAUGCUCCAACGAUGUCCAUACCUUUGCUACGACCCGAUUGUCCUUGGCUGUGACGGGUUGCGGCUUCCCUUUGGCGUCGCCGCUGCCACACGCCGCGUGGUCUUUGUAGGGCUUAUUUCGCUUGGCUUGCUUAGGCAUCCCCGCCGCCUCGCGAUUCCUCUUGUUGGCGCCUGUGUGGUUGCCGCCACCGGCGAUGUUAGGUGGUGCUAGCAAAUGGAGAAAGAUGGGCGACGAGCGAAGAUUUCUUGGUAGUGCCGGAGCAAGGCUCCGUCGUCGCGCUAAGCUUCGCCACCACCCACCGCCGCCAGAUCGAACCAAUCGAGCCACCGUGGCGGUCAGUGGAGGAUGCGAGCGACAACAGGUGCGCGGCGUGGAGGAGAAAUGGCGGGGAGAGGAGGGGCCAACUGUCUCCGUGGAGGGGAGAGGAGGUUGCGGCAACGCUGUCGAUGGAAGGGAAGCGGCGGGGACUGGAACGUACUCGAGCUGAGAGAGUGAGAUGAACUGUGUGGUGCCAUAGCUCAGGGAGGAUUUUUUUUUUU
rnacentral:lncRNA from 1 species